CCUGGAGGUGAUCGUCCUUGGAAAACGAUGUCUCCCUUCGUCAGAAGUGGUCCGGAAGAUCUGGGUUAUUCUUGCAUCGACUGGUAGACGGCUUGUAACAGUGUGGUAUUUAGUGUGUACGUAUUAGUCUCUACUCGGUUGAUAAUAUCAGCGAUGAAGAUUCAAACCAUUGAACUGGUCAUUUGUUUGGACGAUGGAGUAUUGACGGAGGAGGAGUUUGACCUGCUUCAGUUUUAUAGAGAAUAGGUAAAUAGAAACGAUGGAAAUAAACGGUUGAUGUGACUGGUGUGACCUCAUUCCUAAGAUGUGGAAAUAUUCUCGCCCGGAAGUCUUAACUGGAUUGGAAAAAAAACCUAUAUAUGGAAUCUUGGGCCCAGAAAUUGAGCAGCUGCGAUGGUGCUGGGCCUCUAAUGCUACCUUGGAUUUCCUUUCGGUUUCAUAAAAAUCUUGAUAGAGAUUAAAA